rnacentral:rRNA from 1 species
GACGAACGCUGGCGGCGUGCUUAACACAUGCAAGUCGAACGGAGUGGCGACCGGGUGAGUAACACGUGGGUGACCUGCCCUGCACUUCGGGAAAAGCCUGGGGAACUGGGUCUAAUACCGGAUAGUGUGGGAUGGGCCCGCGGCCUAUCAGCUUGUUGGGGGGGUAAUGGCCUACCAAGGCGGCGACGGGUAGCCGGCCUGAGAGGGUGGACGGCCUCAGUGGGACUGGGAAACGCCGCAGACAACUACGGGAGGCAGCAGUGGUGAAUAUUGCACAAUGAGUCGAAGCCUGAUGGAGCGGCGCCGCGGGGGGGAUGUCGGACUUCGGAUUGUAGAAGACUUCAACCAUAGACGCGGUAGAUGGAGAAGAAGCACCGGCUAACUACGUGCCAGCAGCCGCGGUAAUUC